CACCAGGUCAGGACACGGUAAGGAUUGACGGACUGAAGGCUCUUUCUCGAUUCCGUGGAAAGUGGUGCAUGGCCGUUUUGGUUGGUGGAUCGAUCCGUCUGGUUAAUUCCGUUAACGAACGAGACCUCGGCACUCCGAAUAGCGCGGCGGACGUCGCGGCCUCCGGGCCGUCUUCCGCACGAGCUUCUUAGAGGGACCGUCCCCCGCCGGGGAAGGAGGUGCGAGGCAACGACAGGUCUGUGAUGCCCUUAGAUGUUCUGGGCCGCACGCGCAUUACACUGACGCGUCCAACGGGUGACUCCCGACCCGAAGGGGCCGGGGAAUCCGCAAGGCGCGUCGUGAUGGGGAUUGAACGUUGCAAUUGUUGUUCACGAACGAGGAAUUCCUAGUAGGCGCGGGUCAUCAACCCGCGCCGAUUACGUCCCUGCCCUUUGUACACACC
rnacentral:rRNA from 1 species